CACGUAGUUAGCCGGGGCUUUCUUCUUCGGUACCGUCACGCAAAAGGGCUGUUCACCCUCCUGCCGUUCUUCCCGAAGAACAGAGUUUUACAACCCGAAAGCCGUCCUCACUCACGCGGCGUUGCUCCGUCAGGCUUUCGCCCAUUGCGGAAAAUUCCCUACUGCUGCCUCCCGUAGGAGUCUGGGCCGUGUCUCAGUCCCAGUGUGGCCGAUCACCCUCUCAGGUCGGCUACGCAUCGUCGCCUUGGUGAGCCAUUACCCCACCAACAAGCUAAUGCGCCGCGGGCCCAUCCGCAAGUGACAGCCGAAGCCAUCUUUCCACCCCUCACCAUGAGGCGAGAGGUCUCAUCCGGUAUUACGCCCCGGUUUUCCCGGAGUUAUCCCGAGCUUGCGGGCAGGUUGCCCACGUGUUACUCACCCGUCCGCCGCUGACUUCAGAAGAGCAAGCUCUCCGUCGGUCCGCGCGACUUGCAUGUAUUAGGCACGCCGCCAGCGUUCGUCCUGAGCCGAGGACUCAAACUCC
rnacentral:rRNA from 1 species